rnacentral:rRNA from 1 species
AGUGAACGCUGGCGGUAGGCCUAACACAUGCAAGUCGAACGGCAGCACAGUAGAGCUUUCUCCUUGCGUGUCGCGUGUCGGACGCGUGUGGAGUACAUCUCAAUCUCUCCAUUUUCGUGGGAUAUCACGUGGAAACUUUCACUCAUAUCCCACAUGCCCUCUGCGUGAGAGAGCGGGAUCUCUUCACCUCUCGCGCUUUUAUGUGCCGAUGUCGGAUUAGCUAGUUGGCGGGGUAAUGGCCCACCAAGGCGACGAUCCGUAGCUGGUCUGAGAGGAUGAUCAGCCACACUGGAACUGAGACACGGUCCAGACUCCUACGGGAGGCAGCAGUGGGGAAUAUUGGACAAUGGGCGCAAGCCUGAUCCAGCCAUACCGCGUGGGUGAAGAAGGCCUUCGGGUUGUAAAGCCCUUUUGUUGGGAAAGAAAACUAGCAGGCUAAUACCCUGGGGGGAUGACGGUACCCAAAGAAUAAGCACCGGCUAACUUCGUG